GAGUUUGAUCAUGGCUCAGAACGAACGCUGGCGGCAGGCCUAACACAGCAAGUCGAGCGCACCUUCGGGUGAGCGGCGGACGGGUGAGUAACGCGUGGGAAUAUGCCCUUCUCUGCGGAAUAGCCUCUGGAAACGGAGAUUAAUACCGCAUACGCCCUUUUGGGGAAAGAUUUAUCGCCGAGGGAUCGGCCCGCGUUAGAUUAGGUAGUUGGUGGGGUAAUGGCCUACCAAGCCUACGAUCUAUAGCUGGUUUUAGAGGAUGAUCAGCCACACUGGGACUGAGACACGGCCCAGACUCCUACGGGAGGCAGCAGUGGGGAAUCUUAGACAAUGGGCGAAAGCCUGAUCUAGCCAUGCCGCGUGAGUGACGAAGGCCUUAGGGUCGUAAAGCUCUUUCGCCAGGGAUGAUAAUGACAGUACCUGGUAAAGAAACCCCGGCUAACUCCGUGCCAGCAGCCGCGGUAAUAC
rnacentral:rRNA from 1 species